GGAAAACAAUCUGUUGGACGAGAGGAUGCUAAGCGGGAUCCUGCGCAUCCCGAUUCAUAGAUCGCCGUAAGGGCGGAUGAUUAGUUUGUCUGAAUUUUCAACAAAGUGUAAGAAUCUUUGUACGCCAAUCCUGCAUGAUAUAAAUAUUUUUACACCAUAUAUGUAUGAUGUGCUAUGAUCCUGAUAAGUAAAAAAGCAAAAAAAGUUUUAUAUUAAAUUAUAUUUUUAUCGUAUUUGCUUCUGAUUGGUAUCUUGAUGGAUACAUGCAUGCGCAUAACUUGCACCUGCAUAAUUGGAUUAAUGAAUGUGGUUGUUAUGAUAUUUUGGUAUUAAAUCGUAUUUUGAUCAUGUUUAUUUGUAAUUGAUAGUAUGAUGGAUACAUACUUGAGCAUAGCUUACAUUUACGUAAUUGGACUAAUGAUAUGGUGGAUGGACUAACCAUGUUAUAUUGAUUGCCCUGUCACGGGUCGGAAAUGUGACAUUGGUUAGUCUAGGCCGGAUAUAAGAU
rnacentral:lncRNA from 1 species